rnacentral:rRNA from 1 species
UACGUAGGUGGCAAGCGUUGUCCGGAAUUAUUGGGCGUAAAGCGCGCGCAGGUGGUUUCUUAAGUCUGAUGUGAAAGCCCACGGCUCAACCGUGGAGGGUCAUUGGAAACUGGGGAACUUGAGUGCAGGAGAGAAGAGUGGAAUUCCACGUGUAGCGGUGAAAUGCGUAGAGAUGUGGAGGAGCACCAGUGGCGAAGGCGACUCUUUGGCCUGUAACUGACACUGAGGCGCGAAAGCGUGGGGAGCAAACAGG